GAUGAAGAACGUAGCGAAAUGCGAUACGUAAUGUGAAUUGCAGAAUUCAGUGAAUCAUCGAGUCUUUGAACGCACAUUGCGCCCCCUGGUAUUCCGGGGGGCAUGCCUGUCCGAGCGUCAUUGCUGCCCUUCAAGCCCGGCUUGUGUGUUGGGUCGUCGUCCCCCCCGGGGGACGGGCCCGAAAGGCAGCGGCGGCACCGCGUCCGGUCCUCGAGCGUAUGGGGCUUUGUCACCCGCUCGAUUAGGGCCGGCCGGGCGCCAGCCGGCGUCUCCAACCUUCUAUUUUACCAGGUUGACCUCGGAUCAGGUAGGGAUACCCGCUGAACUUAAGCAUAUCAAUAAGCGGAGGA
rnacentral:misc_RNA from 1 species